AGGGUGUUACAGCACAAUGCACGGUUGAAACGAUAAGCUUCCGCGAGUCUUAUAAUCUUCAAAGAGUUGUUCACUUAACAUACAUGUUCAGUCAUGUACAGUGUCGAGCGUACGGACAGUGAAAGAACGCGAACUCCGGCAGUGGUACAAGAGAUGAAGAUCAAGAAGAAGAUAGAGGAGUACGUUAUUAUUUUUUCCUGUCCUAAUCUUAACUUUGUUUUAGAUUUUUCGUUUAGAUGAGGACGAGGCUGAUGAAAAGAAGAGGAUGCUGACGGAGAGACGAGGAAGAUGCUGACGGAGCUACGAGGAGGAUGCUGAUGG